rnacentral:rRNA from 1 species
UACGAAGGGGGCUAGCGUUGUUCGGAAUUACUGGGCGUAAAGGGCGCGUAGGCGGUGUGUCAAGUCAGGCGUGAAAGCCCCGGGCUCAACCUGGGAACCGCGCUUGAGACUGGCACGCUCGAGUUCGGGAGAGGAUGGUGGAGUUCCCAGUGUAGAGGUGAAAUUCGUAGAUAUUGGGAAGAACACCGAUGGCGAAGGCAGCCAUCUGGACCGGUACUGACGCUGAGGCGCGAAAGCCAGGGGAGCGAAUGGG